GCCUGCCACAACGCCCCAGCUAAUUUUUUGUAUUUUUACUAGAGACGGGGUUUCACCCUGUUAGCCAGGAUGGUCUCGAUCUCCUGACUUCGUGAUCCACCUGCCUCGGCCUCCCAUAGUGCUGGGAUUACAGGCUCUGGCCACCAUGCCCGGCUAAUUUUUGUAUUUUUAGUAGAGAUGGGGUUUUGCCAUGUUGGCCAGAAAGAUCUCGAACUCCUGGCCUCAAGUGAUCUGUCUGCCUCGGCCUCCCAAAUUGCUGGGAUUACAGGCAUGAGCCACCGCGCCCAGCCUGUUAACUCUUAUGUGGCAUUUGCUAUGUGCCAGGAAAUGGCUAUUUACAUGUUUUACCUCAUUGAAUCUUCACAACAUCCCUGUGAUGUACAUACUACUAUUAUUCUCAUUUAACAGAUGAAGAACUGAAGUGAAGCUGACUUCCCCAGGCCUGAGAGCUAGCUAAGUCGUAGAGUUAAGAUUUGUACGUGGUCUUAGCCAAAAGGCCAAGAAGCAACUAGAGCUAAGAUUUGAAUGGAGGCAGUCUGGCUCCUGAGUUCAGGCUUCUGACACUGCCUGUGUAAUCAUGAGACUACAUCUGACCAUGCUCAUGACACCAAAUCCAUAGUCUUCCAAACGGGGGAUCAGAGCCAACCACAGCACCUCCUUCUCUCUCACUGGUCCACCCAGUUGACAAAUACUGUUAAUGCUCUCUGAUCUCUCUCUCUGUCUCUCUGGCCUGGCUCCCUCUCUUCAGGUUUGGCUCCUUCCUCAUCUUCUUCUCCCUGGGCUAUUGUUACAGUUUCCCAUCUGGUCUCGUUACCCUUGGGCUUCCCUGAAUCCCCCAGUUCUCUAUACCGUAGCCAGUUAUUGCCCUAAAAUGCAAGCCGAUUGUGUCACUUAAAACCUCUGCUGGCUCUCUAUUGUCUCAUACAGUUCAGACUCCUUAGUGUGAAUGCUGGGCCUCUUGCAUCUGGCCCGCGGUGUACCUCACCAGCCUCAUGUCCCACCAGCGCCCUACUCCAGCCACACCAAGGUCUGCUGUCACCCAGCACACUGUGUCUGUUCACUUCCAUGUAUUCGUGCUGCACUUUUUAAGGCACUUUGCCAGAUGGUGCAGGUGUAUUGGUGAACACACAGACUGGGCUCCCUCAGAGCUCAGAAGCUAAGUAAGAGAUACAGAUAAUUACAGUGUGGUACGAUUUACACUACAAUGGAAAUCUGGAGUGCUGAAAUUAUACAGAGUAACCUAUCUCAGACCAGGAGAAUCAGGACUAUCUUUUGGGAAAUAUAAGCUGGGUCCUUAUGAUGGAGUCGGGGGGUCCAAAAAAAAAAAAAAAAGAAAAAAGAAUUGAGUGGCAUCUAUCCAGGUGAAGGGUGAAAGCAGAGUCACAUAUUCAUUCUUUCUUUCUGCAGGUAUUUAUGGAGUACCCACUAUGUUCUAGGCACUUUUCUAGGUGUUGGGACUACAGCAGUGAACGAGAGAGACCAAAAAGUCUCUGCCUUCUGGCCAGGAGGCUAGGAGAGCUCCAGUGCUUCCAGCAACAGACAGGUCAUGUGCAACAAACCUGGACAUGAGACAGAGACGUGUCAGGCUAAAGCAAUGUUCUCAACCCUAGCUGCUCAUUGAUAUCUCGUGGAGGCUUUACAGCAUCCUAAUGCCCCUUGAAUAAAUCUGAAUCUCUGGGAGUGGGGCCUUGGCAUCAGUAUUUCUUAAAGCUCCCCAGGUGGUUCUCAUGGGCAACCAGGGUUAUAAGUCACUGUGUCAGGAACUGAAGCACUUCAAAGCUGGAAGUGGAGAUCAGAGAUGAAGUUAGAGAGGUGAGCAGGGGCCAGCCCACCAAGGGCUUUGUAAAUCCUGUUAGGAAGUUUCAGCUUAAUCUUGAAGGCACUGGAGCUGCCAAAGGGCUUAAGCAGGAUGAUGAGAGCAUCACAUUAUUUUUCCUUUUUUCCCCCUUUAACAAAGGAUCAGUCUGGAUGCUCUGUGUGAAGUGGAUUUACAUGGACAAAAAUAAACAGAUGUUAGUUUGGAGGCCAUUGCAGGAGCCAGAGAGAAAUGGCAUUGGGCUGCGAUGAUGGGAGUAAAGAUAGAGGAAAGAAGGGGGAGUGUCUGAGAGAUUUGGAAGGAGACUAGACAGGACUCAGUGAUUAACUGGAAGCAAGAGUUGUAGAAGUUCCAGUUUGUGGAACUGGGUCUGUGGUGAUCUUGGUACCUGACAGAGUGAACCUGGAGGAGAAGGUUUGGAGCAAGCUGGUAGGUCCCUUUACACAUGCUGCUUGCUCCUGGGUUCCUCUGUGAUCCUAUGCCUCAUCUUCUCUGCAUAACAAGGCACUUGCCUCCUACAAGAUCUGUUUUAUAAAUUCCUCCUCUUCUGGGAAGCCUAUCUGGGUUUCGCCCUCUGUUGGUUCUGGUUAGAUGAUUAUGAGUGUGUGAAGUCAGUAUCUGUUUACAGGUAUCUCUUCUGCAGCUUGAGCUUCUCCAAGCAAGGAUGUGUUUUAUUCCAUGCUGUGUCCCUCACACAGCACCUGGGACACAGGAGGUACACAGUAAGUGCUUGUUAAAGAGAUGAUUUAUGGCCAGGUGUGGUGGCUUAACCCUGUAAUCCCAGCACUUUGGGAGGCCGGGGCGGGUGGAUCACCUGAGGUCAGGAGUUCGAGACCGGCCUGACUAACAUGGUGAAAGCCCGUCUGUACUAAAAAUGCAAAAAUUAGCCAGGCAUGAUGGUGCACACCUGUAAUCCCAGCUACUCAGGAGGCUGAGGCAGGAGAAUCACUGAACCUGGGAGGCGGAGGUUGCGGUGAGCUGAGGUUGCGGUGAGCUGAGAUUGCACCAUUGCACUCCAGCCUGGGCAACAAGAGCAAAACUCCAUCUCAAAACAAAAAAAAAUUGGGAGGCCGAGGCACGCGGAUCACCUGAGGUCAGGAGUUCGAGACCAGCCUGACCAACAUGAAGAAACCCCAUCUCUACUACUAAAAAAAAAAAAAAAAGUGGGUCAGGGGACUUGUUCUCAUUUCUAGAGUAAGGGAAAGGAGUCCAGGGGCAAGGGAUAUUUGCUUAGCUGAUCAGGAAAGAGUCCUAGUUAAAGAGGUAGGUGCCUUAGCUGUUGACUCUAAGAGAGAGUAAUAUAUUGUCAGCUGUAUAAAUUGCCUUUUGAAUGUGGUUUCAACAUUAUUAUUAUUAUUACUAUUAUUAUUAUUAUUAGAGGCAAGGUCUUGCUAUGUUGCCCAGGCUGGUCUCGAACUCCUGGGCUCAAGCAAUCUGCUCAUCUCAGCCUCCCAGAGAGCUGGGAUUACAGGCAUGAGCCACUGUGUCCGACUGCUUUUAAAUUACUUUCUUGUCAAAAGGUACAUAAGACCAGGCUUGGGGCUCCCAUCUAUAAUCCCAGCAAUUUGGGAGGUAGAGGCAGGUGGAUCACUUGACGCCAGGAGUUGGAGACCAGCCUAGCCAACAUGGCGAAACCCGAUCUCUACCAAAAGUACUAAAAUUAGCUGGGCAUGCUGGCUGGCGCCUGUAAUCCCAGCUACUUGGGAGGCUGAGGCACGAGAAUUGCUUGAACCUGGGAGGUGGAGGUUGCAGUCAGCCGAGAUCACGCCACUGCAUUUCAGCCUGAUCACGCCACUGCAUUUCAGCCUGGGUGAUAGAGUGAGACUCUGUCUCAAAUAAAAAAAAAGGUACUUAAAUCUCUUAAAACUUUUCUGCACCUGUUCUCUCACGUCUCUUCCUAUCAGUGAGAUGUAGUGGUGCUAAUAAGUGAACAGAUCUGAGUUUAAAUUCUGAUUAGUUGAUAGGGCACCGGUGGCUCACGCCUGUAAUCCCAGCAGUUUGGGAGGCUGAGGCUGGCGGAUCACCUGAGGCCAGGAGUUCAAGACCAGCCUGGCCAACGUGGUGAAACCCCCAUCUCUACUAAAAGUAGAAAAAUUAGCUGGGCAUGGUGGCACGCACCUGUAAUCCCAGCUACUUGGGAGGUGGAGGAUCUCUUGAACUUGGGAGGUGGAGGUUGCAGUGAGCUGAGGUUGCACCACUGCAAUCCAGCCUGGGCAGCAGAGCUGGAGUGCAAUAAAUAAAUUAAUUAAUUAAUUCUGAUUAGUUGUGCAAUACUAGCUCUGUGACAUUGGAAAUGAUAUUUAACCUCUCUGAGCUUGGUUUCUUUCAACUACAAAGUGCAGAUAAAGAAAUAUAUACUUCUUUCAUCUGUUGCAUGAGAUAAUUUUAAAAAAGAAAGAAAUAUUUACUUCUUGGCUGGGCACAGUGGCUCAUACUUGUAGUCCCAGAACUUUGGGAGGCUGAGGCAGGAGGAUCACUUGAGCCCAGGAGUUCAAGACCAGCCUGGACAACAUGGUGAGACCCUGCCAUCUCUAUAAAAAAUACCAAAAAAAAUAGCGAGACAUGGUGGCACAGGCCUGUAGUCCUAGCUACACAGAAGGCUGAGAUCGGAGGAUGACUUGAGCCCAGGAGGUCGAGGCUUCAGCGAGCCAUGAUUGCAUCACUGCACUCUAUCCUGGGUGACCUUGUCUCAAAAAAAAAAAAGAAAGAAAAAGAAAUACGUACUUCUUUCAGGAUUAUCGUGAUGUUAAAUAAAGUGCUUACAGUAUGGAAAAGUACCAAGUAUUGGGCCAGGCCUACAGUAGCUCCUCAAAAAUGCCAGGUCCUUCUGCCUUCCAGUCACCACGACCUUUUAUACUUUUGUUCUUUUGCAGUUCCCAGUCCUUAAGGUCAGUGGUGGAGCCGAAUUUGCUUUGUACUCUAUGACUUUCUUGGAAAGGGCCCUUUAUUGAUUCCCUUAUGAAUAGGUCUCUGGCCUUUCUGCAAUGCUGGGGAAUAGUUGGGCAGAAUUUACAUGUAAAUAAUGCCAGGAAAAAACAAAACAAAAAGGCCCCAAAGAAUCCUAGAAAGACAGAGCUGGGCAAACUCUGAGGGUUCCUUUAAUGCCAGGACAAAAUUUAACUGGCUUGUAAUGAAAGGAAAAGAUAAAGAUAUAUAGUGAUUUCAAUGACAGUUUUAAAAACUUUUUUUAAAGCAUUUUUUUUAUGAAAGCUUCGCUAUCUGUGAAAUCUUCACUUUUGGGAACCACUAAUCUAAUCUUAUCUCACUUUACAGAUAAGGGCAUGUAAAACACUUGUGUGUUAUGUAAUAUUAGUGGUAUAUGAGGUGUCUUCACAAAGUCUAAGUAUUUAAUUGUAAGUUCCUGGAGGGAUGUGGUUGUGUCUCCUAUUUUUUACACCCCAUAAUCCCAGUUUAUGGCAUCAUGCCUGGCAUGUGAGGCACCCAAUAAUUAUCUAGCUGGGUGUGGUAGACACACCUAUAAUCCCAGCACUUAUUCCUUGAGCCUAGGAGUUCAAGACCAGCCUGGGCAACAAUGAUACUUCGUCUCUACUAACAGUAAAAUAACUUAAGCCUGGUGUGGUGGUACACGCCUGUAGUCCCAGCUACCCAGGUGACUGAGGCAGAGGAUUGCUUGAGCCUGGGAGGUCGAGGCUGCUGUGAGCCGUGAUCAUACCCACUGCACUCCAGCUUGGGUAACAGAGUGAGACUCUGUCUCAAAAAAAAAAAAAAAUCUAUUGAAUGAAUAAAUGAAAUAGCCUGGCACUCUUGAACCUUAGAUUGUAAUGAUAUUUAUUCUUACUGAUAGAGCUAGUAAACUCCUCGAGGGAGCCUCUGCCCCUUAUUGUCCAGUAGAACAGAUUCUCUGGGUGAAUGAGCCCAAAGGUCAAACAGAUCAAGCAUUUUCAAGAAAAGAUAACCCAAUAACCUGAAUCAUAGCAGGAACCACGAGGUACUUCACUUAUAUUAUCUCAUUUAAUCUUCAUGGUAAUCUUGCCAGGAGGGUAAUCAUUUGAAGCAAGAACAGGUUUAAGAUUUCUUAAAAGACACAGAUGUAAGUCUUUAAUACAGAUUGGGAAGAGGAUUACUUUUUCUGUCUCAGGUUCUUCAGGAUAAAGGAUAAAGAUUUGGAGAUCGUUUAAAAGCUUUUAUAUAAAUGCUCAUUCACUGAGUUCAAAUACUUUUAAAAUGUCCUGGCAGUUGAAAGUUAAAUAAGAAGCAAAAAAUUAUUCUUCUGCCUAGAAUUUUUAAGGUUAUCUUCUUUAGGUAGGAUUUUAUUGUUUGCUAUGAUGUGCCGCUUUUCUUGAAAUACUACAAACCAGUGUUUUCAGCUGGGUGCGGUGGCUCACACCUGUAAUUUCAGCACUUUGGGAGGCUAAGGCAAGCGGAUCACUUGAGGUCAGGAGUUCAAGACCAGCCUGGCUGACAUGGUGAAACCCCAUCUCUACUAAAAAUGUAAAAAUUAGCUGGGCAUGGUGGCAUGUGCCUGUAAUCCCAGGUACUUGGGAGGCUAAGGCAAGAGAAUCACUUCAACCCGGGAGGUGGAGGUUGCAGUGAGCCAAGAUUACACCACUGCACUCCAGCCUGAGCAACAGAGUGAGACUCUGUCUCAGAAAAAAACAAAAAACAAACAAAAAAAACGAGCGUUUUCAAAAUGCAGGUACCAAGCCAGUGAGGUCAUGAAAUGCAUUUAGUGCAUUAAAAAAAAAAAAAAAAGACAAAAGAAAAUAGCAUAUUAAAUGUCUGCCAAGGCUGGGCACAGUGGCUCACACCUGUAAUCCCAGCA
rnacentral:lncRNA from 1 species